UUAAUUGAAACCAAAAUUCGAGGUAUACCACUGUUAAUGGUAUUAAUGAGGAAAUCUCCAAUUAAG
rnacentral:tRNA from 1 species